CUUUUGUCCAUCUGUUCUCUGUUGUGUGAUCCCAAUCCAGAUGAUCCCUUAGUGCCUGAGAUUGCUCGGAUCUACAAAACAGAUAGAGAAAAGUACAACAGAAUAGCUCGGGAAUGGACUCAGAAGUAUGCGAUGUAAUUAAAGAAAUUAUUGGAUAACCUCUACAAAUAAAGAUAGGGGAACUCUGAAAGAGAAAGUCCUUUUGAUUUCCAUUUGACUGCUUUCUAUGAGCCCACGCCUCAUCUUCCCCUGUGCACAUGUUUACCUGAUAAAACAGCAGUGCUGCGUGUUGUACAUACUUGGAACAACAAACUAGAGAUACUGUACUUCUGUACCAACAUUGCCUCCUAGCAGAGAAGUAUGUGUGUGAAAAGCCAAUCUUCCAGGCGUAACCUAGGUGUGAGACAAAAAACUUCACUUAUUGGCAGAAAUUUGGAUAACGGCAAGGUGCGAGGGAUGGUGGGCACAUGGUGUGUACUUGGAUGGGGGAAAGCUCCACUGGCCUGUAGGAAAUUGUUUUUAAGUGGAAUCCAUUUAAAAUCAAAACCGUUAUGAACAGCAAGGUGAAGAACAUGAAGUUUUUUCUGUAUUCAUUUUCUUCGAAGGACCUACAACUUAGGUGAAAGUUAUGACCAACCAGAUUAAACUACCCACAUCCUGUAUUCUAAGGUCUAAGUUUAACUGGUCGACAUUUAAAUGGAUUGGAGCUAUUAGUACAAAAAGUGUGAUGGGCUUUGUUUCCAACUCUUUUACAUUUCCCUACCCUUUCAGUCUUUCAUCCUCCCUCUCCCUCUCUCUCUCUCUCUCUCUUUCUCUUUUUUUCUCUCUCUUUUUCUUUCUCUCUCUUUCCAUAUUCUUUGGUUUGUAUGUGGUUUCUCAGUUAAUACAUAGCUAAUAGCUCUUAUUUUUCUUAUGUUUUUAACUGCUUAGGUCUAUUUGGAUGUAAGGGUGAAAAUUCAUUUGAUGGAAAUACUUGUGUAUAUUUAAAGACCCAAUUGCUCCUCUGGAGCUUGUACGUUCAAGAAUGAUUAAUCUGUGUAAUAAACUGAUUACUACAGUCAUUACAUAUAAUUUUGUGUGAAUAGGCUUUUUGAUUUUAAGAACUUUGUCUAACUGAGAUUAGUGGUGGGUGUUCCCUCACCCCUGAAAUGUUUUCAUUUAUACUGGUUGCAUUUUAAAAUCAUGAAACAAUUGCAGUUUACAUAGUUGAAAAAAAAUACCUUGAGUAAUUUUACUGAACAAGAUAAAAGGCAUCAGCUUAAAGGCAUUUUUGUGAAAUGUGUAUGUGCAGCAUUCCAGGAACAUGACUGUUACACUAAAUAAGAAAUUUGCUUUGUUAAUGAAACUAAGCUGCAUCUCACCAAAACCUUGUGACAUUCCCUUGGUACAUAGAACAUAAAACACGAAGGCAUUGCUAUUUGGUAAGUGAAGCCUCUGUGACUGUAAUUAUAUAGAGCAACUCUGACCAAACUUGGGAACAUGAGCACAAUCUUGUAUUGGAGAGUCUACGUAAUUACUUUGCACUAACAUUUGCAGGAUGUUCAUCCAAUUUUAAAUUGUACUGUAUGUGGCUUUUUAAAGUCUUCCCUUGACUCUAGUAAAAUGUAGUUUGAAACUUGUAUACUGUGUUUGCCAGAAACAUCAUUCAUGUGAACUAGGCAAGUUAUCCCCAUUCCCCUUCUUUACCUAAUCUAUAAUUGUAAACCAGGCCAGCCUGAAGGCCAUGGCUGAUGCUCUCUAGCCAUCAGAUUCUUUAAAAUGCAUCUUUACACUCUUGCACAAAAAUUGAGGAAUAAAUAUCCACUGCUUUUGUUCA